rnacentral:rRNA from 1 species
UACGUAGGGUGCAAGCGUUAAUCGGAAUUACUGGGCGUAAAGCGUGCGCAGGCGGUGAUGUAAGACAGGUGUGAAAUCCCCGGGCUUAACCUGGGAACUGCAUUUGUGACUGCAUCGCUGGAGUGCGGCAGAGGGGGAUGGAAUUCCGCGUGUAGCAGUGAAAUGCGUAGAUAUGCGGAGGAACACCGAUGGCGAAGGCAAUCCCCUGGGCCUGCACUGACGCUCAUGCACGAAGCGUGGGGAGCAAACAGG